rnacentral:pre_miRNA from 1 species
AAUAAACGAAUUUCUAUUUUUUGAUAGAAUCUUUGACUCUUCGUCUUAUUUGAAAUUUUUUUAAUUAAUAUUUUUGUUGUUAUUAUAUAAUAAAAUAUAAAUAAUACUUUCUGCGUGACUAACUUCUUUAAUUUUUUAAUAAAUUUUUUAAAUAAAACGGAUGAUCAAAUGCUCGACCUAGGAAACUCAGAAAUAUUUUUAUU